AGAUUAUGCUAGAUCGAACAGUCGCGUGCGGUUUUAGUGCAUAUACCUGUUACCAAGAUGAGACAGGAUAUCGUGA